rnacentral:tmRNA from 1 species
AUUAACAAUAUGUUUUCAAAAGAAAUUUACUUUUUUUGUUAUAAUAAAAAUGGUAUGUAGGAAUUUCGGACGCGGGUUCAACUCCCGCCAGCUCCACCA